UACGAAGGGGACUAGCGUUGUUCGGAUUACUGGGCGUAAAGCGCGCGUAGGCGGAUCGCUAAGUCAGGGGUGAAAUCCCAGGGCUCAACCCUGGAACUGCCUUUGAUACUGACGAUCUGGAGAUCGGGAGAGGUUGGUGGAAUUCCGAGUGUAGAGGUGAAAUUCGUAGAUAUUCGGAGGAACACCAGAAGCGAAGGCGGCCAACUGGCCCGAUACUGACGCUGAGGCACGAAAGCGUGGGGAGCAAACAGG
rnacentral:rRNA from 1 species